rnacentral:rRNA from 1 species
CGGGAGUGCGGUUCAGGCGUAACACAUGCAAGUCGAACGGCAGCACGGGUGCUUGCACCUGGUGGCAAGUGGCGAACGGGUGAGUAAUACAUCGGAACGUACCUUAUCGUGGGGGAUAACGCAGGAAAAGCUGUGCUAAUACCGCAUACGCCCUGAGGGGGAAAGCGGGGGAUCGCAAGACCUCGCGCGAUUAGAGCGGCCGAUGCCUGAUUAGCUAGUUGGUGGGGUAAAAGCCCACCAAGGCGACGAUCAGUAGCUGGUCUGAGAGGACGAUCAGCCACACUGGGACUGAGACACGGCCCAGACUCCUACGGGAGGCAGCAGUGGGGAAUUUUGGACAAUGGGGGCAACCCUGAUC